AAAAGUUAAAUUAAUUAAUAAACAAAAAUGGACCUUUCCUCUUCUCUGCUCUUCUCUAUACUCAAUAAACACCUCACCUUUUCAAUCAUCUCUUUCACUCUUACCUUUUCAAUCAUCUCUUUCACUCUUAAUCCCCAUUUCUCACUUACACUACUCUUUUAAAAAAAAUUACUUGCAAGAUCAACGUUAACAACUGUUCGGGUGUUCCUCGAGGUGUGAUUUCGUAUUGAG
rnacentral:lncRNA from 1 species